AUGCCCUUCCCUUACCCCAGCACACAGCUGCCCACGGCCAGCUCCACAGGGCCACAUUCUGAAGCCGUCCUCCACCCACCUGGGGUCCUGGCUCCCCACCCCGGCCCCCUGCCCCUGCGCUCCCGUGGAAAUGUCGCAGGGAACCCGGCUGGGGGCCAGGGGCUGCUGCCAAGAGGAGCGUGGAUGCCUCGGUGUCCACACACCCCCUGCGCCCAGUCCCGAAGCCCUCGCUACUCAUGCCGUGGUCCUAGGCCAGGACCUGAGGUGGCAGGUGGGGAGUGCCAUCCCACUAAUGCCUAAGUCACCGCUUCAGCCGAGCUCUGGCUGGAUUUCUGGUGACCCUACUGGAACAUUCCUUGAUGGAGAAUGUGCCCUGGUGGGGAACACACCUUGGCUAUCUUAGUCCAGGACUAGGGGUGAAGAGGAGCUGGACAGUCUGCUUCUUGGAGCCCACUGGACACCAAGGACAGCACCUGCUGUCGGCCCCUCCCCAUCAGCCCCACCCCGCCACCCCCGCGUACCCAGGGCUUUGCCCAUCUCUGCUCUGGGUGCUCCUCUGGGGUCCAGUGGAGACUGACCACCCUGCUUGAGCCAAAGACAAGGUGAUGUGAGGAGAAGCUUCUCAGCUCCCAGAGGGGACAGUGCUGGCUGUGGCUAGAGAACAGCAGGUCUGCGCAGCGUCUGAGGGCAGGUUGGAAGCAGAGCAAAGAGGGGGAGAGAUCCCUGGAGAGUGGGCGGAGGGGAGGCAGCAGGACACGUUGGCAAGUGUAGAGCGAAGGAAGAAAAUGGAAAGGGUGUGGGAUUGGUGUCCCCAGAUGGAGCCUUAGGCUAGUGCCCAGUGCGGUGCCAGACUGUCACCUCUGCUCCCCCCACCUCACCCCCAGGAGGACCCACAGUGGAGCCCCUGGUGGCCUCGGUGGAGGUGCUUGGUGUGGGGACCCAGGUGUGGAGUGAAGGGGGUGGGGGGCGACAGCCUGGGAGAGGCUCUUUGUGGGUCUGUGCCUGCCGUCCGCGUCCCCAUCCUGGGGUGAGGGGCGAGAGGAGAACUUGGCUUAUGUAGGGUUGGUCAGCCUUGGGGCCUUACCUAACCAGUUUCAUGAGAUUUUUUUGCCCCAUUCCCUCUGGAAUGUGCAGUGGGCCGGCUGAGAGUGUGCCCGGGGAGGGGGAAUGAGCCCUUGAUCUAGGAGUUCAGAUUCCAGGGCCCUACCCCUCGUCCCAGGAUCCCAGGUGAGGACCAGUUGAAGCUUGGCGCCCUCGCAGUCAACCCACCCAGGGCGGCCGGUGGGGGAGAGACAGAAAAGCGAAGUACACUCCGCCUCUGCCCCACCCACCUUGACACGCAGCAGCCAGAGAGGGGGGAGGAGAGUGAAGCUGAGGACGCCUGGGCCCCCAGGCCUGCUCACUGCAGAGCUGCUGCCCAGAGACUUCAGCCUGACCUCGAGUGGUCCCCAAGAACAACUGCUUUAUCUUCUACCAAUUCCACUCCACUCCUUCGUGGCUGGGACAGUUACUGGUUCAUAUGCAAGUAAAGAUGAGAAUUCACUCAACAAAUAUUUAUCAGCACCUUUUAUGUGUCGGGCACUGUUGUAGGUGCUUAGGAUAUACUCGUGCUGCUGAGGGAUUACGCACCGGGAGGAUUCCACCAAUCUCCACUUCUAGCAGGUUUCCUGGACGUGACCUUUGGCUACAUCUGCCAUCUUCCCAGCGUCCGCACCCAUAUCCGUCCUUUCUCUUCCGCACACUGGCAGGUGGGACUGGCUCCCAGGUCGCCCUCUCUCCCUCCUUCCCCACACCUUUCUCCUCCACAAGAAACAGAGUUUUCGGGGCCUUCCGUGCCUGCCCCUUUCUCUGUCUCUCCUUUUUUUAAGUAAUAUUUUUAGAAAUACAUGUAAAAUACCAAGAAAUAGUGUCUGCGCCUCUGCCACCUCUCUGCCAUCUCUUAUUUCAUAAAGCUGGCUCUUUAUGUUGCUUUACAUGCCUUAAUAUAUGUUUUCUGGAGAUUAUACAUAUUAUAGAUAUAUAUGUAA